UAGUAUAUAAAUUACAUAGAAGUUUCAGCUCUAAAAUACUCAUUUAAGUACUGAUUAGUGAGCC
rnacentral:tRNA from 1 species